rnacentral:rRNA from 1 species
CGGCGAGUGAAGCGGCAACAGCUCAAUUUGAAUCUGGCCCCAGGCCCGAGUUGUAAUUUGCAGAGGAUGCUUUUGGCGCGGUGCCUUCCGAGUUCCCUGGAACGGGACGCCAUAGAGGGUGAGAGCCCCGUCUGGUUGGAUACCAAGCCUUUGUAAAGCUCCUUCGACGAGUCGAGUAGUUUGGGAAUGCUGCUCUAAAUGGGAGGUAUAUGUCUUCUAAAGCUAAAUACCGGCCAGAGACCGAUAGCGCACAAGUAGAGUGAUCGAAAGAUGAAAAGCACUUUGGAAAGAGAGUUAAACAGCACGUGAAAUUGUUAAAAGGGAAGCGUUUAUGACCAGACUUGGGCCGGUUAAUCAUCCAGCGUUCUCGCUGGUGCACUUUGCCGGUCCAGGCCAGCAUCAGUUCGCUGCGGGGGAUAAAGGCGUCGGGAAUGUGGCUCCUCCGGAGUGUUAUAGCCCUUCGCGCAAUACCCUGCGGUGGACUGAGGUUCGCGCAUCUGCAAGGAUGCUGGCGUAAUGGUCAUCAACGACCCGUCUUGAAACACGGACCAAGGAGUCGUCUUCGUAUGCGAGUGUUCGGGUGUAAAACCCCUACGCGUAAUGAAAGUGAACGCAGGUGAGAGCUUCGGCGCAUCAUCGACCGAUCCUGAUGUUCUCGGAUGGAUUUGAGUAAGAGCAUACGGGGCCGGACCCGAAAGAAGGUGAACUAUGCCUGUAUAGGGUGAAGCCAGAGGAAACUCUGGUGGAGGCUCGCAGCGGUUCUGACGUGCAAAUCGAUCGUCAAAUAUGGGCAUGGGGGCGAAAGACUA